AGCAGCCGCGGUAAUUCCAGCUCCAAUAGCGUAUAUUAAAGUUGUUGCAGUUAAAAAGCUCGUAGUUGAAUUUCGGGAUCAAUACGUCGGUCGUGCUUCGGUACGUACUGGCGUCAUUGGUUUCUCCCUUCUGACGAACCAUGAUGUCAUUAACUUGGUGUCAUGGGAAAUCAGGACUGUUACUUUGAAAAAAUUAGAGUGUUUAAAGCAGGCUCGCGCUUGAAUACAUUAGCAUGGAAUAAUGAAAUAGGACGUUCGAUCCUAUUUUGUUGGUUUCUAGGAUUGACGUAAUGAUUAAUAGGGAUAGUUGGGGGCAUUAGUAUUCAAUUGUCAGAGGUGAAAUUCUUGGAUUUAUUGAAGACUAACUACUGCGAAAGCAUUUGCCAAGGAUGUUUUCAUUAAUCAAGAACGAAAGUUAGGGGAUCGAAGACGAUCAGAUACCGUCGUAGUCUUAACCAUAAACUAUGCCGACUAGGGAUCGGAUGAUGUUAAUUUUUUAAUGACUCAUUCGGCGCCUUACG
rnacentral:rRNA from 1 species